GAUGAACGCUGGCGGCGUGCCUAAUACAUGCAAGUCGAGCGAACGGACGAGAAGCUUGCUUCUCUGAUGUUAGCGGCGGACGGGUGAGUGGCACGUGGAUAACCUACCUAUAAGACUGGGAUAACUUCGGGAAACCGGAGCUAAUACCGGAUAAUAUUUUGAACCGCAUGGUUCAAAAGUGAAAGACGGUCUUGCUGUCACUUAUAGAUGGAUCCGCGCUGCAUUAGCUAGUUGGUAAGGUAACGGCUUACCAAGGCAACGAUGCAUAGCCGACCUGAGAGGGUGAUCGGCCACACUGGAACUGAGACACGGUCCAGACUCCUACGGGAGGCAGCAGUAGGGAAUCUUCCGCAAUGGGCGAAAGCCUGACGGAGCAACGCCGCGUGAGUGAUGAAGGUCUUCGGAUCGUAAAACUCUGUUAUUAGGGAAGAACAUAUGUGUAAGUAACUGUGCACAUCUUGACGGUACCUAAUCAGAAAGCCACGGCUAACUACGUG
rnacentral:rRNA from 1 species